GGGUUGUGAGGUUAAGCGAACAAGCGUACACGGUGGAUGCCCUGGCAGUCAGAGGCGAUGAAGGACGUGCUAAUCUGCGAAAAGCGCCGGCGAGGUGAUAUGAACCUUUGACCCGGCGAUGUCCGAAUGGGGAAACCCGGUGCACCACGGUGCAUCAUCGUUAACUGAAUACAUAGGUUAACG
rnacentral:rRNA from 1 species